rnacentral:rRNA from 1 species
UACGUAGGGUCCAAGCGUUAUCCGGAAUCACUGGGCGUAAAGCGUGCGUAGGUGGCGUGUUAAGUGUGAUGUUAAAUCGUGGGGCUCAACCCUAUCGAUGCAUCGCAUACUGGCAUGCUAGAGGGAAGCAGAGGCAAGUGGAAUUUGUAGUGUAGCAGUGAAAUGCGUAGAUAUUACAAGGAACACCAAUGGCGAAGGCAGCUUGCUGGGCUUCUUCUGACACUGAGGUACGAAGGCGUGGGGAGCGAACAGG